rnacentral:rRNA from 1 species
UACGUAGGGUGCAAGCGUUGUCCGGAAUUAUUGGGCGUAAAGAGCUCGUAGGUGGUUUGUCGCGUUGUUCGUGAAAACUCACAGCUCAACUGUGGGCGUGCGGGCGAUACGGGCAGACUAGAGUACUGCAGGGGAGACUGGAAUUCCUGGUGUAGCGGUGGAAUGCGCAGAUAUCAGGAGGAACACCGGUGGCGAAGGCGGGCUCCUGGGACCGA